rnacentral:miRNA from 1 species
UUCCUAAGCUAAAUCGAUUUUCU